rnacentral:sRNA from 1 species
CUAGGAAGAGGAGCACCCCUUUGAUUUUGUCUUCAAAAUGGGGCCUAGCAGGGGCCUGGAUGCUGCGCAUGAAAGAAACCAGAAUGGAGGGAAGAGCUGUCGCACAUUCAACUAGCAGCAAGGACAGGUCAUCCUAAAAUGGACAGAGUACCAACUGCUGCUUAGCUCUGAAUCUACUGCCUUGGUCCCCAACCUUCCUGGUGGACUCAACACAAGACAUGAAGUCACAGUUCAUGCUGACUCUUCCUGGAGGCCAGUGAAGAAGAGGACUCAGGUUCUAGCCAGGCUGCAGCAUGAGAUCAACUGUGGGAAGCCUCAGAAGAUGCUGGAGGGAGAGAUUCUGGACAGGGAGAACAGCUUCCAGCGUGAACCUCCUUCAUGAGACAUGGAAGAUUCUCUUGGCCAGUGAGGAGUUAGAAUCUUGUAUCUGGAUGCGAAUAUCCUUACAAAGGUUUAUGAGGUCCCUUCUAUCCAAUCCCCUUUUCUGCUACUCUAACAUGUCUCUUUCAUGUGUUGCUUCUAGAGCCUGGAAUACCUUCUAGCCCAGACUCCUGGUCUCUGACACUUCCUCCCUCUUCUCACAAACCACUCAACUGCUACACUCUUGGCAUGCAGCCCCCCCUCCCCCACCGUGUUCAGUAUACUGCUGGUUAAAAGUUACUUAGCAGUGUAUGCCUUACUACAGAGUAAAGAUUCUAGGAGGGCCAAGACUA